AGAAGGAAGGAAUGCGUCUGGAGAAGUUGCCCCCGGGGCUCCAGUCUCAAGGUCCCCACCAGAUCUCCAUCGGGACCCUUUCACGACCCCGAGCCCUUUCCCCAGGAGCUCCCAGCAACCUUCGCGCUUCUCCGGAGGGUGGGGUCUGCCGCGGCGCGGGGGCAGCCUCACCCCACCUCACUGCUGGACUCCGGAGAACCAUUUCUGGGACCGGGAGCUGUCCAGCGCCUCGGGUCCUGACGGACCGCUGAUUCGCCUAGGUGCCAUCGGACAAGCGGGUGCUCAGAGCCAGCUCUGGUGGCUCGGGAGCUUUCCCCCAACCAGGCUAAGACCACUAAACCACGCCUGGCCCGGAUGAGCUUGGAUGCAGCUCCGAACGUGGGGAUCCAUCGGUGCUGAGAACUGACCUAGGGAGCACCUUGACCCCUGCCCUAUCUGGGCACAAUUGAAGGGCCAAGUGCCACCAGCCCACUUUCCUGGAACCCUGUCUCAGACUUGGGCAGGAAGAAGAGCCAUGAGAGCUCUCAUCAGAAGCAGAGGCUGGGAUUAUCUGCCUAGGGCUGAGUCCCUUCAUAUUAACAACAGACUGAAGAUGUACUGACUGCAACGAGACAAAUAGAAAUAAUAUGGUCACAUUCACCUCCAUUUCAUAAAGCAAGUGGAACCUGGGCUCACUGCGAUGAAUGAGCUUCAAUAAUUCAUCCCAGCUGCUGGUGUGCCUUCAAUGCAAUGAGAGAGAAUAACAUUAAGGAAUAGCUUUGGAAUGGGAAGAACUCUCUGAACCCUGAAGGAUGAGAAGUCUGGAAAAGAGAGUGGGAAGAGUAGACCAGAAGGAGGAAAAGCCACAUAUUUAAGGUUUUGCUUCUUGCUGCAAGCAGAUUCCUUGGCUUUACCUUCAGAGCUUUUGACUCAAUGCAGAAAUGGAAAAGCCAAUCCUUAAAUUCAAAUGGAAUUGCAGCGGACCCCAAAUAGCCAAAGCAAUCUUGAAAAAGAAGAACAAAGCUGGAAGACUUACACUUCCUGAUUUCAAAACGUAUUACAAAGCUACAGUAAUCAAAAUAGUGUGAUAGUAGCAUAAAGGAUAGAGAGAUAUAUAUCAACGAAAUAGAAUUGAGAGUCCAAAAAUAUACUAAUACAGCUAUGGGGUCAAUUGAUUUUUGACAAGGGUGCCAAGAGCAUUCAAUGGGCAAAAAAUAGUGUCUUCAACAAAUAGUGCUGGGACAACUGGAUAUCCACAUACAAAAAAGGAAGAAGAAGGAGAAGGAGGAGAAGAAGAAGAGGAAGGAAGAGGAGGAGGAGGAAGAGAAAGAAGGAGGAAGAAGAAGGAAGAAGAAGGAGAAAGAAAGAAGAACAAAGAAGAAAGUUGGACCCCUUACCUCGUACCAUAUACAAAUAUUAACUCACUAAGGAGCUUCUGGAUAGCUGAACACAUGAAGAUACUUGGAGGGAAGGUGGCAUGCCUAGAGAUGUAUGAAAGCUCUAUGCCCCUUCCCACAUGGCUUGACCUAUCCAUCUCUCCAUCUGGCUGUUCAUCUUUAAAAUACCCCUUAUGAUAAAUGGGUAAAUGCUACAUGUUCACUUGGCAUCCUAGGUCAGGCAUUUGGUCUCCACCAGAGCCCAGGAACAAGCCCAGGAGCUGUAUAUUUUAUUUUUUCAAAGUGUGAAUGAGUUAUUUGUGUAAAAAGACAUAGCUGCAAUACAAAACUCUAGGAGUCUACGUCAUGAUUCCUCUAUCAGGGAUUCCCAGAUGGUUCACCAGCAUUCCUAUCUGCAAUAGACAUUUGGAGCACUGUUGAAUCUGCUGGGUCAUAAGGCCCAAGCAGGAAAGCAGCUUAUAUCAUACCUGCAAUAGCUUCAGAAACUUUUCUUGCUCUGGUCCUGUAUUAGCUUUCUAUUGCUAUGUAACAAAUUACCACAAACUUAGUGGCCUAAAACAAAAACAAAAAACAAACAAAAAUUUUGAACUCAUUAUGUAUCAAAUACCUAAAUGUAAGAGCAAAAAGUGUAAAACCUUUAGGAGAAAACAUAAGGGUAAAUAUUCAUGACUUUGGAUUUGGCAAUGGUUUCUUUUUUUUUUUUUUUUUUUUUUGAGAGCGGUCUUGCUUUCAUCCCCCAGGCUUGAGUGCAAUGGCUCAAUCUCGGCUCACUGCAACAUCCGCCUCCCGGGUUCAAACGAUUCUCCUGCCUCUGCCUCCCAAGUAGCUGGGAGCAAAGUGCCGGCCAUCACGCCCGGCUAAUUUUUAUAUUUUUUAGUAGAGACAGGGUUCCACCAUGUUGGCCAGGCUGGUCUCGAACUCCUGACCUUAGGUGAUCUGCCCGCCUCAGCCUCCCAAAGUGCUGGGAUUACAGGCAUGAGACACCACGCUCGGCCUGGCAAUGGUUUCUUAAACAUGAUAUCAAAACCACAUGCAACAAAAAGUAAGUAUGGAUACACUGGACUUCAGCAAAAUUAAAAACUUUCAUGCAUCAGAGAACAUCUUCAAGAAAGUGAAAAGACACUUUUCAUUUCAUUUGUCAAUUUGCAAAUCACAUAUCCAAUAAACUUCUAGUAUCCAGAAUAUAUAAAGGACUCAUAAUUUGAUAACAAAAAGACAAUCCUUUUUUUCUGAGACAAGGUCUCACUCUGUCACCCAGGCUAGAGUACAGUGGAAAGAUCACAGUUCAUUGCAGCCUCAACCUUCCUGGGGCUCAAGUGAUCCUCCCACCUGAGCCUCCUGAGUAGCUGGGACUACAGGUGCCACCAUGCCAGGCUAAUUUUUUGUAUUUUUUCGUAGAGAUGGGGUUUUGCCAUGUUGCCCCAGCUGGUCUCAAACUCUUGGGCUCAAGUGAUCCACACUCUUUGGCCUCCCAAAGUGCUGGGAUUGCAGGUGUGAGCACCCUGCCUGGCCUAGAUAACUCAAUUUUUUAAAUGAGCAAAGGACUUGAAUAGACAUUUCUCUAAAGAAGACAUAUAAAUGGCCAAAAAGUACAUGAAAAGAUGCUCAACAUCAUUAGUCAUUACGGAAAUGCAAAUCAAAACUACAAUGAGAUACCACUUUAUACCCACUGUGAUGGCUAUAAUUAAGGAAAAGAACAAGUAUUGGCAAGAAUGUGGGGACACUGAAACCCUUGGGCCUUCCUGAUGGGAACAUAAAAUGGUACAGCCACUGUGGAAAACAGUUGGUGGUUCCUUAAAAUGUUAAACAUAGAAUUGCCGUAUGACCCAGCAG
rnacentral:lncRNA from 1 species